rnacentral:rRNA from 1 species
AGCAGUGAGGAAUAUUGGUCAAUGGCCUAACGGCUGAACCAGCAACUUGGAGGAAUGAAUAGCGAAAGCCGGUAAAAAGGUAAUGUACCUAGUAGUAUUAGUAAUUAAUAUGAGAUUAACUAAGUUAGUUAAAAUUCGAUGUGGAUAUUUGAUAAUGACAGUAUCUGCUUAUGUCUUGACCAAGUCACGUGCCAGCAGUCGCGGUAAUACGUGGAAGAUUAGUGUUAUUCAUCUUUAGUAGGUUUAAAGGGUACCUAGACGGUUAACUAAGCAAUAACGAAAAAAAUUGUACUAAUUAACUAGAGUUUAAUGUAAGAUGGAUUGAGUACGGUGAGUGUAGAGAUAUAAUUCUGUGAUACCACGUCGGAACUGGUAAAGGCGAAGGCAACCUUCUAUGUAAAAACUGACGUUAAGGGACGAAGGCUUGUGUCCAAAUAACAGGAUUAGAUACCCUAGUAUUUUGAGCAGACAAUGAUGAAUGUCAUAUACAAGAAAUUUUUUGUGUAUAAAUGAAAGUGUAAGCAUUCCACCUCAAGAGUAACGUGGCAACAUGGGAACUGAAAUCACUAGACCGCUUCUGAAACUCGUAGUGAAGUAUGUUGUUUAAUUUGAUAGUCCUCAAAUAACCUUACCACAAUUUGAAUAUAUGGCUGUGUAGCCCGCAAGCGUUGCACAGUUACAAGCGUUGCACGGCUGUCUUCAGUCAAUGUUGUGAAACUGUGGUUAGAUCCAUUAAAUUGACGUAAACCCUUACUUUAUUUAUAAUAGAGUAGUACGCCGCCUUUUAGUAGGUAGCGAUAUAAGGGACCAGUACAAGUCAUCAUGGCCUGAAUAUUGUGGGCUAUAGACGUGCCACAUUA